rnacentral:rRNA from 1 species
GAGCGGAAAGGCCCUUCGGGGUACUCGAGCGGCGAACGGGUGAGUAACACGUGAGUAAUCUGCCCCAGGCUCUGGGAUAGCCACCGGAAACGGUGAUUAAUACCGGAUACGACAACUUCCUGCAUGGGAUGGUUGUGGAAAGUUUUUCGGCCUGGGAUGUGCUCGCGGCCUAUCAGCUUGUUGGUGAGGUAAUGGCUCACCAAGGCUUCGACGGGUAGCCGGCCUGAGAGGGUGACCGGCCACACUGGGACUGAGACACGGCCCAGACUCCUACGGGAGGCAGCAGUGGGGAAUAUUGGACAAUGGGCGGAAGCCUGAUCCAGCAACGCCGCGUGAGGGAUGACGGCCUUCGGGUUGUAAACCUCUUUCAGCACAGACGAAGCGCAAGUGACGGUAUGUGCAGAAGAAGGACCGGCCAACUACGUGCCAGCAGCCGCGGUAAUACGUAGGGUCCGAGCGUUGUCCGGAAUUAUUGGGCGUAAAGGGCUCGUAGGCGGUCUGUCGCGUCGGGAGUGAAAACCAGGUGCUUAACACCUGGCCUGCUUUCGAUACGGGCAGACUAGAGGUACUCAGGGGAGAAUGGAAUUCCUGGUGUAGCGGUGAAAUGCGCAGAUAUCAG